GGGGAAUAUUGGACAAUGGGCGAAAGCCUGAUCCAGCCAUGCCGCGUGUGUGAAGAAGGUCUUCGGAUUGUAAAGCACUUUAAGUUGGGAGGAAGGGCAGUAAAUUAAUACUUUGCUGUUUUGACGUUACCGACAGAAUAAGCACCGGCUAACUCUGUGCCAGCAGCCGCGGUAAUACAGAGGGUGCAAGCGUUAAUCGGAAUUACUGGGCGUAAAGCGCGCGUAGGUGGUUCGUUAAGUUGGAUGUGAAAUCCCGGGCUCAACC
rnacentral:rRNA from 1 species